rnacentral:rRNA from 1 species
CCUACGGGAGGCAGCAGUGAGGAAUAUUGGUCAAUGGACGCAAGUCUGAACCAGCCAUGCCGCGUGCAGGAAGACGGCUCUAUGAGUUGUAAACUGCUUUUGUACGAGGGUAAACGCAGAUACGCGUAUCUGUCUGAAAGUAUCGUACGAAUAAGGAUCGGCUAACUCCGUGCCAGCAGCCGCGGUAAUACGGAGGAUUCAAGCGUUAUCCGGAUUUAUUGGGUUUAAAGGGUGCGUAGGCGGUCGGAUAAGUUAGAGGUGAAAUCCCGAGGCUCAACUUCGGAACUGCCUCUGAUACUGGUCGGCUAGAGAGGAGAUGCGGUAGGCGGAAUGUAUGGUGUAGCGGUGAAAUGCUUAGAGAUCAUACAGAACACCGAUUGCGAAGGCAGCCUACCAAGCUACCUCUGACGUUGAGGCACGAAAGCGUGGGGAGCAAACAGGAUUAGAUACCCCAGUAGUC